rnacentral:rRNA from 1 species
UACGGGGGGGGCAAGCGUUGUUCGGAAUUACUGGGCGUAAAGGGCUCGUAGGUGGCCAACUAAGUCAGACGUGAAAUCCCUCGGCUUAACCGGGGAACUGCGCUUGAUACUGGAUGGCUUGAGUUUGGGAGAGGGAUGCGGAAUUCCAGGUGUAGCGGUGAAAUGCGUAGAUAUCUGGAGGAACACCGGUGGCGAAGGCGGCAUCCUGGACCGACACUGACGCUGAGGAGCGAAAGCCAGGGGAGCAAAGCGGG